rnacentral:rRNA from 1 species
GACGAACGCUGGCGGCGUGCUUAACACAUGCAAGUCGAACGGUAAGGCCCUUCGGGGUACACGAGUGGCGAACGGGAGAGUAACACGUGGGUGAUCUGCCCUGCACUUCGGGAUAAGCCUGGGAAACUGGGUCUAAUACCGGAUAGGACUCCUGGCUUCAUGGUUGGGGGUGGAAAGUUUUUGCGGUGUGGGAUGGGCCCGCGGCCUAUCAGCUUGUUGGUGGGGUAAUGGCCUACCAAGGCGACGACGGGUAGCCGGCCUGAGAGGGUGACCGGUCACACUGGGACUGAGAUACGGCCCAGACUCCUACGGGAGGCAGCAGUGGGGAAUAUUGCACAAUGGGCGCAAGCCUGAUGCAGCGACGCCGCGUGAGGGAUGACGGCCUUCGGGUUGUAAACCUCUUUCAGCUAUGACGAAGCGCAAGUGACGGUAGUAGCAGAAGAAGGACCGGCCAACUACGUGCCAGCAGCCGCGGUAA